AACCUAAAUAAUAAGAACUUCCCCCUUGAUAGUGGUAUAUGUUGUAUAUGUAAAACCUAGAUGUGAAAAUAUACGGAAUUCCUCUAUGAAUCUAUGAAAAGUAUAAAAAAGAAAGAAAAACACAAAGAAAAGAAUAGGCUAGGCAUAAAUCGAUAUGCUGAAAUUGAAAUCAAAAAUAAAUAAGAAGAGGAGCCAAAAAAGAAAGAAAAACACAAAGAAAAGAAUAGGCUAGGCAUAAAUUGAUAUGCUGAAAUUGAAAUAAAAAAUAAAUAA
rnacentral:lncRNA from 1 species